rnacentral:rRNA from 1 species
GACGAACGCUGGCGGCGUGCUUAACACAUGCAAGUCGAACGGGCCCGCUCUCUUUUUUGGGGGUGGGUUGAGUGGCGAACGGGUGAGUAUCACGUGAGUAACCUGCCCCCUGCUCCUGGAUAACUGCUUGAAAGGGCGGCUAAUACGGGGUGUGCCGGCUGGUCCGCAUGGGCCUGGUCGGGAUAGUUUCAUCUUCGGGUGUUUCGGGGGGGGAUGGGCUCGCGGCCUAUCAGCUUGUUGGUGGGGUGAUGGCCCACCAAGGCGGUGACGGGUAGCCGGCCUGGGGGUGUGGGGGGCCAGACGGGGACUGGGACACGGCCCAGACCCCGGCGGGGGGGAGGGGUGGGGGGUAUUGCAAAAGGGGGGGGAGCCGGAUGCGGCGCCGCGGGGGGGGGGAGGGGGGCCUUCGGGUUGUGACCCUCUUUCGCCGGGGGGGAAGGCCCUGUCGGUGGCGGGGGGGUUGACGGUAGCCGGGUAUGAAGCGCCGGCUAACUACGU